UACAGAGGGGGCAAGCGUUGUUCGGAAUUACUGGGCGUAAAGGGCGCGUAGGCGGCCUGUUAAGUCGAACGUGAAAUCCCCAGGCUCAACCUGGGAACUGCGUCCGAUACUGGCAGGCUUGAAUCCGGGAGAGGGAUGUGGAAUUCCAGGUGUAGCGGUGAAAUGCGUAGAUAUCUGGAGGAAUACCGGUGGCGAAGGCGGCAUCCUGGACCGACAUUGACGCUGAGGAGCGAAAGCUAGGGGAGCAAACGGG
rnacentral:rRNA from 1 species